rnacentral:rRNA from 1 species
GAUCCUGGCUCAGGAUGAACGCUAGCUACAGGCUUAACACAUGCAAGUCGAGGGGCAGCAUGUAUCUGGCUUGCCAGAUACGAUGGCGACCGGCGCACGGGUGAGUAACGCGUAUCCGACCUGCCGCACACUCCGGGAUAGCCUUGCGAAAGCAAGUUUAAUACCGGAUGCCGUAAUGGCGCCGCAUGGUGUUUUUACGAAAGGGAUUUACCGGUGUGCGAUGGGGAUGCGU